CGUGUUUACAAAAGAUAUUUGCACAUACUCUUUCUUUUUCCAAUGGAAUUCUUUCUAUCAGAUUCUACAUUUCAUUUGCAUAAUUUCAAAUUUUUAUAAGCAUAAAAGAAUUACUACUAAAUCACAAGAAACUUAAUAUACUUGGACCUAAUUACCGAUUAAUACAUAAACGUUUAUGUACACGUUACAUGCAGAGUUUUAGCCUGCGAAUGGUCAGACGAGAUUUUGUGAGAAUGAGUAUUCCAAACGUUCAAGGAUAGCUGGCUGCUCGAAGUCACGUAGCUAUCGGGUGACACAGGAUCGAAUUUUCGGAAGACGCGUGGGAGAGUUUAGACGUGACAAGUAAUCCGAAUA